rnacentral:rRNA from 1 species
UACUAGAGUAGCACUCGCAUAUCAAUAAGCGGAGGAAAAGAAACUAACUAGGAUUCCCUCAGUAACGGCGAGUGAAGCGGGAAGAGCUCAAAUUUGAAAUCUUCAAGGUUCUACCUUGACGAAUUGUAGUUUAAAGAAGUGUUUUCUGUUGGAGUUUUGGUAAAAGUUCUUUGGAAUAGGACAUCAUAGAGGGUGAGAAUCCCGUAUUUGACCAUUAUUUCCAGCUGUGUGAUACACUUUCAAAGAGUCGGAUUGUUUGGGAAUGCAGUCCAAAAUGGGUGGUAAAUUUCAUCUAAAGCUAAAUACUGGCGAGAGACCGAUAGCGAACAAGUACCGUGAGGGAAAGAUGAAAAGAACUUUGAAAAGAGAGUUAAACAGUACGUGAAAUUGUCAAAAGGGAAGCGUUUGACACCAGUGUUGUUUUCUCGAAAAUCAAUUAAAAAUGGUGGGAUUUUGUGUUGUAUUGACUUUAUCAGCUUUCUGCACUUUUUUCUUAUCUUUUUUAAUGCACUUUUCGUUUAACAAGUCAACAUCAAUUUCUUUUGUUGUAAAAGAGUCAUUGGAAGGUGGCUUUUUCUUCGGAAAAAGUGUUUAUAGCCUUUGGCUUCUGCAAUCGGAGAGAUUGAGGUCUGUAGCGUAGAUCCUUCGGGGUUAGAUACAUUUGUGCUAAGCUAUAGUUCUUUAUAGACAACUUGUUGACUAUAAUCAAUCCUGUAACUUACUCGCUUAUGCUAUUUUACCUACGCUUAGGAUGUUGAUAGUCACAGCGUGUAC